rnacentral:rRNA from 1 species
UACGUAGGGGGCUAGCGUUGUCCGGAAUCAUUGGGCGUAAGGCGCGUGUAGGCGGUUCGGUAAGUCCGCUGUGAAAGUCGGGGGCUCAACCCUCGGAUGCCGGUGGAUACUGUCGAGCUCGAGUACGGAAGAGGCGAGUGGAAUUCCUGGUGUAGCGGUGAAAUGCGCAGAUAUCAGGAGGAACACCAAUUGCGAAGGCAGCUCGCUGGGACGUUACUGACGCUGAGACGCGAAAGCGUGGGGAGCGAACAGG